rnacentral:rRNA from 1 species
UACGGAGGGUGCAAGCGUUGUUCGGAAUCAUUGGGCGUAAAGCGCGUGUAGGCGGCUUGGCAAGUCAGUUGUGAAAGCCCGGGGCCCAACCCCGGAACUGCAUCUGAAACUGCCUAGCUAGAGUCCCGGAGAGGAAGGCAGAAUUCCCGGUGUAGGGGUGAAAUCCGUAGAUAUCGGGAGGAACACCAGUGGCGAAGGCGGCUGCCUGGGCCAGUUCUGACGCUGAGGCGCGAAAGCGUGGGGAGCAAACAGG